rnacentral:snoRNA from 1 species
AGUGCUAGAACACACGUUUGACAAGGCUGCAAAGCGCAAUUCUCCAGAGGAGGAUCAAGCCUUGCAGAGCUGAGCGCACU